rnacentral:rRNA from 1 species
UAUGGACGAGAGUCUGAACCAGCCAGUAGCGUGCAGGANGACNGCCCUAUGGGUUGUAAACUGCUUUUAUAANGGAAUAAAGUGAGUCUCGUGUAGCACUUUUUGCAUGUACCUUAUGAAUAAGGACCGGCUAAUUCCGUGCCAGCAGCCGCGGUAAUACGGAAGGUCCGNGCGUUAUCCGGAUUUAUUGGGUUUAAAGGGAGCGUAGNCCGNAGAUUAAGCNUGUUGUGAAAUGUAGAUGCUCAACNUCUGCACUGCAGCUCNNACUGGNUUCCUUGAGUNCNCNNAAAGUGGGCGGAAUUCGUGGUGUAGCGGUGAAAUGCUUAGAUAUCACGAAGAACUCCGAUUGCGAAGGCAGCUCNCUGGANCGCAACUGACNCUGAAGCUCGAAAGUGCGGGUAUCNAACAGGAUUAGAUACCCUGGUAGUCCAAGGGCGAAUUC